GCAUAAAACAAGGGUAACCACUCUCUGUGAGCCAGUAGCUUGGGACAUCUAUUUGCAAGUCACAGCCUAAAUAUGGAAAUAGGCGGUCUUCUCGUAUUCUUCGUCGCGAUAAUUUGCAUCUGUGGUGCUCAGAACGUUGGACAGGGGGCUAACUUCAUAAUCUCUGUACAACAACAACCACAGAAUUCGUCCAACCAAGGCCAGCAGCUGGUUCAACCUCAGCCGAACAGACAAAGAGUUAACGAAAAAAAUCAACCAUUUCAAAAUUAUCAACAGCAACAAUUGAAUCAGGGACCUUCCCGGCUGAUAGGACUGCCCACCCGCCCAGACUCAAAACCAACCAAACAACCAUUACCAAUAACAUCAAUUUUCGAUCUACCCGAUAUACCCGAUAUACCUGAACAAUGCCCAACAGGUACAGUCUGGGACUACGGGACGGCAUCAUGUAUAUAAUUUUUUGAAUUUAAAUCGAUAACUCCUUGAUUCAAUAGUUUCUGCUCGAUCUAAAUUUUCUGGGACUAAUAGCUGUUUUAUUUUUAUUAAGAUAAAUGACUAUUUUUGCCUCAAUUCCAAUAUUAUCUCGACAACAUCUCAACCUAUUUACAGGACAAUGUUGAAAACCCUUUUAAAAAGAUCCCCUUGAAAAUUGUGAGCUUCGCAAUGUUUAAUUUUUCGAUUUAUUAAGGCCUAUAAUUAACACAAAUUCCGAAAUGAAAAUUUGGCUUCUUCGAAACUUUCACUAAUGUAACAAAAUUUUAAGAAAAAUAAAGCAUUAACAUGUGGAAA